CGGGAAGACAACUAGGCUUGUGAAAUCUCAUGCCUGACAGCACAAUUUUGCAUGACACUUCUGACCUGCAUGUCAAGAGAAAACGCAAGAUUGAAGAAGCCCAUGGGUUAACAAGAUUGAUGAGCAGUGUCCACCAUCCUUUCACUACAUACCUCAUAGCCUCGCUUUCUCUAGUGCUUCUAUCAAUUUCUCCCUUUCUGAGAUCGGAAAUGAGAAUUGCUGUUCAAAUUGUUAUGGUGACUGCCUGCCUUGUCCAGUACCCUGUGCUUGUGCAUGUGCAAAUGGGGGUGAGUUUAUAUACACUGUGAAAGGUCUUGUAAAGGAAGCUUUUUUGUUGAAGUGUAUUUCUGUCAAUCGCGACCCUAAAAAGAGCCACCACUUAUAUUGUUGGGAAUGCCCUCUAGAAAAGUCAAAAGAUAACAACAUUUUAGAACCGUAUACGGGCCACCUGAAGAGAAAAUUUAUCAAACAGUGCUGGAGAAAGUGUGGUUGUGGUAAACAUUGUGGCAAUCGAGUGGUGCAGCGGGGCAUAAGUUAUAAUAUGCAUGUAAAGAAUUGUUUUCGUGUUAUUUUAAAGCUUUUGCCUGUUGUAGCUCUACUGUCAUAUUUGGACCUUGUGGUGGUUAUCAUUCUUAAAAGUGUUCCAGUUACUACUGCAGUGAGUGACUUUGUUUCGGAACCCUUAAGCUUAAGCCUGUACUCUUUUGUGACUGAUUUUGUCCUUUAGGUGUUUAUGACGCCUGAAGGAAAAGGGUGGGGUCUGCAAGCACUGGAUGAACUGCCUAAAGGUGCAUUUGUAUGUGAGUACAUAGGUGAAAUAUUAACCAUCAAGGAAAUGCAUGAGCGAAAUUUGAAGAAGGGUGACGCUGCGAAACGUACUUAUAAGGUGCUCCUUGAUUCUGAUUGGAGCUCCAUGUGUGUGAAGGAUGAUGAAGCUCUUUGUUUGGAUUCAACGACCUUUGGAAACAUUGCUAGGUUUAUCAACCAUAGGUCAAAGUUCUCAACAAACUUGCUUCAACUCGAGCUUUAGGAGUAGGUAGCGGCAGCAGAGUCUUGACAGAUUUGGUAGAGGGUCUAGAAGAAGCAGCCGUUGCUGUAGAAUUGAGGUUGAAGAUCAACCAGAGUCAUCCGGACUUAAAGGGAGGAUCUUUCUGAGACUAUGGAGAGGCAGUGUUGAAGCACUUGGAGAACUCUAUUGAUUUGGACCCAAAGCUUCAGAAAGCUCCAGUAAAUUAUAAAGGAGUCCAGGUAUCUGGGUUUGGAGGAUGGUUCCUUCUGAGGCUCUCGCUUUAUGAUCCUGUUCUUCCUCUUAACAUUGAGGCACCAACUCACGAUGACGCUGUAAAACUUGGACUUGCUGUGCUUGGGGCUAUUAAGGAGUUUGCAGCUUUGGAUACAUCCGCUUUAGACAAGUUUGUUCAAGUAUCAUGAGCCGAUGAUGCAGAGCGCUUUGGUACAAGUAUCUUUCGGCACAUUAGACUAGCAGUUAAAGUUGGCUUUGGCGUCUACCUCUGUACAGUACGUAUAAUCAGUGCGUCAAUCUCUGAUGCUGAGGAGGUUCAUUUUCCAGAUGGUUUUGGUCACAGGCACUCAAAAUAGUACUUGAUGGCUAUGUUUACUUUAGUUUUUACUUAUGUUCCAUGUAUGCAACAGGGAUGUUCUGAUAAAUAAGAAACGUUCUUCGACUACAGAAUUUGUCGGAGGGAUGUUUGAA